UGUAGCAGGCUAAUUUUAAAGUUGAUAAUUUUGUAUGACCUGUAAGUGGCGCUAUAAAUAUCCAAAUGGCCCUUGGCAGAAAAAAGGUUCCCCACCUCUGGUCUAAGGACACUUAUGUUUGGACUUAAGGCCUACCAGUGUUAAUCCAGAAUGAUCUCAUUUUGAGAUCCUUAAUUUAAUUACAUCUGCAAAGACCCUUUUUCCAAAUAAGGUCACAUUUACAGAUUUGUGGGGUUAGGGCAUGGACCAUCACUCAGCCCACCACAGGGGUGAAGGAGACAAGGUGCCCGGAGUACCUGAUUUGGAGAGGAGACAGGUGUUCUGGAGAGUGGCACAGCUGAAACCCUCAUGGGGCACCUACAAUAUUGCUGUUACUCUCCCUGGAAGCUGUUAGCUAGAAAUGCCAGCUCCACAGGGGAAGGUCGGCAGUGACCUGAUCAAACCUGGCUUUACCAGAGAUAAUUUACUAGACUUCAGCUCAUACCUAGUGAACCUUUAUCCAUCUGACCCACAUCGGUAUUUCUUCCGUGAGCCCUUCCUCUUCCUUUUCUCCUUCCUUGUCAGAGAUUUUCUCUCCAGUACUUUGCUUCCUUUGGUAUUGUUUUGUUUUUAUCAUGGACAGUAAAUCAAACAGAAGUAUGUAUGUUAGUAAUUCUAAUGAUUAUUAAGUAAUUCUUUGCUGCUUGUCUUUUGAGCUCCUUCAGCAGAUGAUGGUGCUGGAGCCUUGCACUGACCUCCCUUCCUAGAUUCUUGAUCUUUGGCCACCUGAUUUGGGAUUUGGGAUGUGAGUCUAGGAGCUAAUGGGACUGUACCACACAUGUGCCUUCAAAUGUUUAUAUUUCAUUUUCCUUGAUAGUGUACCUGUAUAAUAGAUAAGGGAGAGGAUGGGUCUCCUGAGACCUUGAAUUACCCACUUCCAUCAAAUAUUCCUGGUCUCCCCCAAGGUCUAGAACUUGGACCAAUAUAUAUGGUUAAAGUACUCAGUUGAAAUCCACAUAUCCCCUAAUGAUAAUAGUACUACUAAAGGUCCAGAAACCCAGUCAGCCCUUCUCCAAAUAACACUUUUAAGAUGGACAAAAAUAUUGGCAAAUCUGUAAUGUUGAGAGUAUAGGUAGAGUGAAUGACACAAAGGCUCUGGAAUCUUUGCUUAUCUUGGAAAUCAUGAUUGGGCUGCUUUUUAUAAACUGGGUCAUGGCUUCCACUGUGGCAUGAAUUUUUCCAAGUAAUAUGCUGCCUCCUUAGGCAACAUUGAGACCUGCUGAGUAAAAAUUAAUGUACACAGUUUAGUCCUAUUGGAAGGUUGAAUGGUGAAGGGGACAAGGGUUAUUAAGGGAGAUAAUAGAAAGCACCUUUAUCAAUUAAAUACAGUGAAAACAUAAA